rnacentral:rRNA from 1 species
CGAACGGGUGAGUAACACGUGAGCAACCUGCCCUAGGCUUUGGGAUAACCCCGGGAAACCGGGGCUAAUACCGGAUAUGACCACAUGUCGCAUGGUGUGUGGUGGAAAGUUUUUCGGCCUGGGAUGGGCUCGCGGCCUAUCAGCUUGUUGGUGGGGUGAUGGCCUACCAAGGCGACGACGGGUAGCCGGCCUGAGAGGGCGACCGGCCACACUGGGACUGAGACACGGCCCAGACUCCUACGGGAGGCAGCAGUGGGGAAUAUUGCACAAUGGGCGGAAGCCUGAUGCAGCGACGCCGCGUGAGGGAUGACGGCCUUCGGGUUGUAAACCUCUUUCAGCAGGGACGAAGCGUAAGUGACGGUACCUGCAGAAGAAGCGCCGGCCAACUACGUGCCAGCAGCCGCGGUAAGACGUAGGGCGCGAGCGUUGUCCGGAUUUAUUGGGCGUAAAGAGCUCGUAGGCGGCUUGUCGCGUCGACCGUGAAAACCUGGGGCUCAACCCCAGGCCUGCGGUCGAUACGGGCAGGCUAGAGUUCGGUAGGGGAGACUGGAAUUCCUGGUGUAGCGGUGAAAUGCGCAGAUAUCAGGAGGAACACCGGUGGCGAAGGCGGGUCUCUGGGCCGAUACUGACGCUGAGGAGCG